GACGGAGGGGGCAAGCGUUGUUCGGAAUUAUUGGGCGUAAAGGGCUCGUAGGCGGAUCCGCCAGUCUGACGUGAAAUCUCCACCGCUCACCGGGGAGGGGCCGUUGGAUACUACGGAUCUGGAGUUCGGCAGAGGACCAUGGAAUUUCCGGUGUAGCGGUGAAAUGCGUAGAUAUCGGAAGGAACAUCAGUGGCGAAAGCGACUUCCUGGACCAGUACCGACGUUCAGGCACGAAAGCGUGGGGAGCAAACAGG
rnacentral:rRNA from 1 species